UACGAGAGGCCCAAACGUUAUUCGGAUUUACUGGGCUUAAAGAGUUCGUAGGCGGCGCGGAAAGUCGGGUGUGAAAGCCCUCGGCUCAACCGAGGAAUUGCGCUCUAAACUACCGUGCUUGAGGAAGCUAGAGGUGAGCGGAACUGAUGGUGGAGCGGUGAAAUGCGUUGAUAUCCUAAGGAACACCGGUGGCGAAAGCGACUCACUGGAUCUCUUCUGACGCUGAGGCACGAAAGCUAGGGGAGCGAACGGG
rnacentral:rRNA from 1 species